UACAGAGGUCCCAAGCGUUGUUCGGAUUCACUGGGCGUAAAGGGUGCGUAGGCGGUCGGGUAAGUCUGACGUGAAAUCUCCAAGCUCAACUUGGAAAUGGCGUCGGAUACUAUUCGGCUCGAGGAAUGGAGGGGAGACUGGAAUUCUCGGUGUAGCAGUGAAAUGCGUAGAUAUCGAGAGGAACACCAGUGGCGAAGGCGGCUCACUGGACCGGUACUGACGCUGAUGCGCGAAAGCGUGGGGAGCAAACAGG
rnacentral:rRNA from 1 species